rnacentral:tRNA from 1 species
GGCUCGGUGGUGUAGUUGGUUAUCACGUCAGUCUAACACUAGUUAGCUCACUGAAGGUCCCGAGUUCAAACCUCGGCUGAGUCA